UAGCUGAUGCUUUUGCAACGACUAAUGAGGAUCCCCUAAUAAAUACCAGGACCAAUUAGUGGACAAAAGACCAGAAUCGAGCUGCCUGUGUAAACGCAGCCUAAGAGGAAAGCAGUUACUAUUGCACGUAAAGACGUGAAUAGUGUUAAUUUAGUUUGAUAAGGCUUUUCAUGCAAGAUAUGGCUAACAGACAUGGUAUAAACACUACAGUAUAUGGCGAUGUAUCCAUGCAAAGCCACACAUUAUUUGGUCAUGGGGCGGCAGGGUAACCUAGUGGUUAGAGUGUAGAGGCGGUAGGGUAGCCUAGUGGUUAGAGUGUAGAGGUGGCAGGGUAGCCUAGUGGUUAGAGUGUAGAGGUGGCAGGGUAGCCUAGUGGUUAGAGAGUAGAGGUGGCAGGGUAGCCUAGUGGUUAGAGUGUAGAGGUGGCAGAGUAGCCUAGUGGUUAGAGUGUAGAGGAGGCAGGGUAGUCUAGUGGUUAGAGUGUAGAGGUGGCAGGGUAGCCUAGUGGUUAGAGUGUAGGGGCGGCAGGGUAGCCUAGUGGUUAGAGUGUAGAGGCGGUAGAGUAGCCUAGUGGUUAGAGUGUAGGGGCGGCAGUUAGCCUAGUGGUUAGAGUGUAGAGGUGGCAGGUAGCCUAGUGGUUAGAGUGUAGAGGCAGUAGAGUAGACUAGUGGUUAGAGUGUAGAGGAGGCAGGGUAGUCUAGUGGUUAGAGUGUAGAGGUGGCAGGGUAGCCUAGUGGUUAGAGUGUAGGGGCGGCAGGGUAGCCUAGUGGUUAGAGUGUAGAGGCGGUAGAGUAGCCUAGUGGUUAGAGUGUAGGGGCGGCAGGGUAGCCUAGUGGUUAGAGUGUAGAGGCGGCAGGGUAGCCUAGUGGUUAGAGUGUAGAGGUGGCAGGGUAGCCUAGUGGUUAGAGUGUAGAGGCGGCAGGGUAGCCUAGUGGUUAGAGUGUAGAGGCGGCAGGGUAGCCUAGUGGUUAGAGUGUAGGGGCGGCAGGGAAGCCUAGUGGUUAGAGAGUAGAGGCGGCAGGGUAGCCUAGUGGUUAGAGUGUAGGGGCGGCAGGGAAGCCUAGUGGUUAGAGAGUAGAGGUGGCAGGGUAGCCUAGUGGUUAGAGUGUAGGGGCGGCAGGAAGCCUAGUGGUUAGAGAGUAGAGGUGGCAGGGUAGCCUAGUGGUUAGAGUGUAGAGGUGGCAGGGUAGCCUAGUGGUUAGAGAGUAGAGGUGGCAGGGUAGCCUAGUGGUUAGAGUGUAGAGGUGGCAGGGUAGCCUAGUGGUUAGAGUGUAGGGGCGGCAGGGUAGCCUAGUGGUUAGAGUG